GGCGGAGCGAGGGGCUUAGCAGGGGGCGCUCUCCCCUGGCAGGCAGGGUUUACUCUGGUGCUGUUAUAACUGGCCGCCCCGCCCCAGAGGUGGGCGCAUCUCAGCGCCAGGCGAGGGGGCCCUGGGUAACCGGCCGCCCCGCCCCAGAGGUGGCUGCAUCUCAGCGCCGGGCGAGGGGUCCCUGGGUAACCGGCCGCCCCGCCCCAGAGGUGGCUGCAUCUCAGCGCCGGGCGAGGGGUCCCUGGGUAACCGGCCGCCCCGCCCCAGAGGUGGCUGCAUCUCAGCGCCAGGCGAGGGGUCCCUGGGUAACCGGCUGCCCUGCCCCAGAGGUGGCUGCAUCUCAGCGCCGGGCGAGGGGUCCCUGGGUAACUGGCCGCCCCGCCCCAGAGGUGGGCGCAUCUCAGCGCCGGGCGAGGGGUCCCUGGGUAACCGGCUGCCCUGCCCCAGAAGUGGAUGCAUGGUGUG